rnacentral:rRNA from 1 species
AUUGAACGCUGGCGGCAGGCCUAACACAUGCAAGUCGAGCGGAUGAGGGUAGCUUGCUACCUGAUUCAGCGGCGGACGGGUGAGUAAUGCCUAGGAAUCUGCCCGAUAGUGGGGGACAACGUUUCGAAAGGAACGCUAAUACCGCAUACGUCCUACGGGAGAAAGUGGGGGAUCUUCGGACCUCACGCUAUCGGAUGAGCCUAGGUCGGAUUAGCUAGUUGGUGAGGUAAUGGCUCACCAAGGCUACGAUCCGUAACUGGUCUGAGAGGAUGAUCAGUCACACCGGAACUGAGACACGGUCCAGACUCCUACGGGAGGCAGCAGUGGGGAAUAUUGGACAAUGGGCGAAAGCCUGAUCCAGCCAUGCCGCGUGUGUGAAGAAGGUCUUCGGAUUGUAAAGCACUUUAAGUUGGGAGGAAGGGCUGUAGGCUAAUAUCCUGCAGUUUUGACGUUACCAACAGAAUAAGCACCGGCUAACUUCGUGCCAGCCGCCGCAGUAAUAC